UGACAGGUUAGUACAGUGGUGAACCUAUAGGUCCUCCGUGUGUGACAGGUUAGUGGUGGUGUACCUAUAGGCCUCCAGUGUGUGACAGGUUAGUACAGUGGUGAACCUAUAGGUCCUCCGUGUGUGACAGGUUAGUGGUGGUGUACCUAUAGGUCCUCCGUGUGUGACAGGUUAGUAGGGUGGUGAACCUAUAGGUCCUCCGUGUGUGACAGGUUAGUAGGGUGGUGAACCUAUAGGUCCUCCGUGUGUGACAGGUUAGUAGGGUGGUGAACCUAUAGGUCCUCCGUGUGUGACAGGUUAGUAGGGUGGUGAAACUAUAGGCCUCCAGUGUGUGACAGGUUAGUGGUGGUGUACCUAUAGGUCCUCCGUGUGUGACAGGUUAGUAGGGUGGUGAACCUAUAGGCCUCCAGUGUGUGACAGGUUAGUAGGGUGGUGAACCUAUAGGUCCUCCGUGUGUGACAGGUUAGUAGGGUGGUGAACCUAUAGGCCUCCAGUGUGUGACAGGUUAGUAGGGUGGUGAACCUAUAGGUCCUCCGUGUGUGACAGGUUAGUAGGGUGGUGAAACUAUAGGCCUCCAGUGUGUGACAGGUUAGUAGGGUGGUGAAACUAUAGGCCUCCAGUGUGUGACAGGUUAGUACAGUGGUGAACCUAUAGGUCCUCCGUGUGUGACAGGUUAGUGGUGGUGUACCUAUAGGCCUCCAGUGUGUGACAGGUUAGUGGUGGUGUACCUAUAGGUCCUCCGUGUGUGACAGGUUAGUGGUGGUGAACCUAUAGGUCCUCCGCGUGUGACAGGUUAGUACAGUGGUGAACCUAUAGGUCCUCCGUGUGUGACAGGUUAGUACAGUGGUGAACCUAUAGGUCCUCCGUGUGUGACAGGUUAGUGGUGGUGUACCUAUAGGCCUCCAGUGUGUGACAGGUUAGUACAGUGGUGAACCUAUAGGUCCUCCGUGUGUGACAGGUUAGUGGUGGUGUACCUAUAGGUCCUCCGUGUGUGACAGGUUAGUAGGGUGGUGAACCUAUAGGCCUCCAGUGUGUGACAGGUUAGUGGUGGUGAACCUAUAGGUCCUCCGUGUGUGACAGGUUAGUAGGGUGGUGAACCUAUAGGCCUCCAGUGUGUGACAGGUUAGUAGGGUGGUGAACCUAUAGGUCCUCCGUGUGUGACAGGUUAGUAGGGUGGUGAAACUAUAGGCCUCCAGUGUGUGACAGGUUAGUAGGGUGGUGAAACUAUAGGCCUCCAGUGUGUGACAGGUUAGUGGUGGUGUACCUAUAGGUCCUCCGUGUGUGACAGGUUAGUAGGGUGGUGAACCUAUAGGCCUCCAGUGUGUGACAGGUUAGUAGGGUGGUGAACCUAUAGGUCCUCCGUGUGUGACAGGUUAGUAGGGUGGUGAACCUAUAGGCCUCCAGUGUG